rnacentral:lncRNA from 1 species
GGAUGUAGAUACUUCUGAGGCAACAUGUCCUGAGGCUCUCAUGGAAUCAAAUGUUUCUGCUGUCUCUGACAUAACAGGAGGCUCAGGCUGCGAUACAGACUCUUCAGAUGGUGAUGAUGGCACCUCUGUAGGCCAAGUAUUUUCAGCUGUUAAUGCUGACUGCUCAGUGGGCAAUGCUGGACCCUCUGGUGGUUCCUCAGGAGGCAAUGGUGGCACCAUAUAUGCCUCUGUAUAUGUGUCAGUGUAAGAAUCGGUGUAAGAAUCAGCAGCCAUAGACAUCAUUGAACGAUCAGCAGUAUAAGAUGACAU